GGGUUGCGCUGGGGUGGGUGUCCAGCGCUGUAGGAGGAACGCGGUGGGAGGAAGGCUUGCGGGCGUGCGGACUCGGCUUCGGGCCGAGCGCUUUGAAGAAUUUUGCAGAACCCUGCUACCUACAGACUCUGCCAUGGAUGUCAUGUAAAGAAACCCCGGAUGUAGUAACGGACAAAACAUGAGUCAGUUUGUGUUGUGGCAUUCAGAUCUGAACACACUGGGAGAGAAGUGAUUCUGAAUGGAGAAGACGUAGGACCGGUCAGUGGUAGGAUGGACUGUGCUUGGAAGACAGGCACCUGGAGCUCUCAGUUUGGACUAGGCUGGCUGGCAGUAAGCCCCCAGGAUCCUCCUGUUCUCACACUAGAGGCAUCAAACACCAAGAUUGUGAAGACCAUGGCCCAUCCUUAUGCAUUCAAGAGUUGAGUGUGGAUGACUUGGAGCUGAAAAACCCCUUCAGAAGCUUCAUGUGUCACGUGCAUUGAAGCUCUGCAUUAAACCCGCUCGCACAAGUAAAUGCUCAAAGGGACUGAAGGCCAUUAGUACAGUUUUUAUGUCUCUUUCUUUUACUUCAGUUUCUUUAGCCAUCAGGGUCCUUAAUGUUUCUUGUCUUUACUAUAGUAAAGACUCAGAGAAAGGCUACUUUCCAUGAAGUAGUAUGUACUUUCCAUGAAGUAGUAUGUACUUUCCAUGAAGUAGUAUGUACUUUCCAUGAAGUAGUAUGUUCUGUGGCCACAUGCCUUUAUUAGUGGAGAUGGGCAUUUUCACUUGAGUGUUUUGUUACAGCCUAUUAAAAAUUUGAUUCAGUAAUGUGAAAGUGAGGAUUAAAUAUCAAAAAAAUUACAAUAUUAGAGAAGUAUGUGCUUAACAUGUGCAAAGCCCCAGGUCCAGUCUGCUGCAUUGUGUGGGGUGGUUAGGGGCUGUGUGGAUGUGCAAGGCCCAGGGUCCAGUUUGCUGCAUUAUGUGGGGGUGGCUAGGGGGUGUGUGAUGUGGUAGAAGUGACUUAAGCUGAGACCUUGGGUAAGGAGCCCUAAGAGUUAAUGGCUCUCAGCCCACCACUGCCUCUUACAGCUAUGUGACUGGGAAAGGUCUUCUCUCUGUGUCUUCAUUGGGCUGACCAGCAGCUGUUUAAAUGAAAGAAUUUAGGGGUAUUCACAGUGUGUCUGCAUAGUAAGAGUAACAUUGUUUCCAUUUUUAUAUGUAACAAUGUGUGCAGUUGGUAAUUAAGUCAAAGUUUUCUUUUUCUUGUGUGUUGCUGUCACAAUUUUCAAAGUAUAAUUUUAGCUCUAGUGCCUUUCUACACAUUUUAAUCCUUGGAGAUUCAUUUCAUUCCUUUCAUACCUGUGAGGAAGGAGUUAGUACUAAUAUCAAUGACAUCUGGUUUAAUUGAAAUAUUUUGUGUUUCAUAAAAUAUAGAAAGCCAGGUAGCCUGUGCUACUGUCUAUCCUGAUACUUACAACACUUAAGAAUUGUUCAACUUCAACUUUUUAGGAAAAUUAUGCUAAGUGUUUUACUUUAGGUAUUUUGUUUAUUUUAUUUUGAUGUGUGUGUGUGUGUGUGUGUGUGUAUGAAUGUAUGUAUAAGAGAGGGUGUGUGUGAGUGAGCCUGUGUGUGAGUGAGCAUGCUUGAGUAUGUGUUGUGUGUGUGUUAUCACUCCUCAUGUGCCAUCUGUCUUUUUUGUUUGUUUGACAUAGAGUCUCUCAUUGGUCUGGAACUGGCCAGUGGCCAAGUAGACCAGGCUGGCUGGCCAGUGAGCCUCAGGGAUCUGCCUGGUUCUACCUCCCCAGCUCUGAGAUUAUAAACCCACACCAGGAUGUCAGAUCCUCAUUCUUGCAGAACACUUUACUGACUAAGCUAACUUCUUAGCUCCCUGUGUGGUUUUGUUUUUGUUUUUGUUUUUGUUUUGUUUUGUCUUUUGAGACUUAGGAGCUUGGUGUUCUAUAAAGGAGAAAAUGCCAGUUUCCCCCUUCUCUUAGUAACUGAGUUUAGGUUAAUGAUUUAAGAUGCAUGUCACUGUAAUUAGCUUGUUUCUUUGAAGACAUCAUUGGUUACCAGUAAGUAGGUGACUGCUAUAGUACUCCUGGACAGUAGGGAGUGCUUUCUUCCAGAGGGUAUACAUUCUGAUUCAUGGUGAGGAAAUGUUUAUUUAUCUUAGUGUGUAUACAUAUAUGUGUGUGUUAUAUGUGUGCUGGUGCAUUUCUCUGUGUGUGUGUGUGUGUGUGUGUGUGUGAGUGUGAGAGAGACCCAGCUUUAUGUGGGUGUUGAGAAUCUGAACUCAGGUCUUUCUGCUUUUAUAGCAAUCAUUGUACUGAACCAUGUCUCCACCCUGUUUCCUUACUGCACUGAAAUACUUUACUUGGUGCCUUGGAAUUGUUUAAAUUUAACAGAAGGCUAUACAAAGUGUUGAUUUUUCUCCUUAUACAAAUUACAUAAAUGCAUAUAAUCCCAGUGAUGUAAAUAUUUGUCAAGAAAUGUAAAAUGUGGACAGGAGCUACAUGUUGCCUAGUCAUAACCAAGCUUCUUGCAUUGGUGGAGACAGAACGAAUUGCAUAGACUUUGAGAAUUGAGCCUGCCAGGAACAAGACAGUUGGCCUCUGAUGGAGAAGCUGGCCUCUGAUGGAGAAGCUGGCCUCUGAUGGAGAAGCUUCUUACUGCCUGUGACUGACUUUCUUCUUCUUUGACCCCUCCCCUGAACCCGAAACUCCUCACAUUGAUCUUUAUGACCUUGCAUGUAGAAAUACUAGCUACCAGUGAAAAAGCCCAAGAGACACUAAUUGGAUAUCUUGACUGUCCUUGGUCUGUAUGCCCUGCCCUUAUGAAUCUAGUAUCUGCCACUGGCCUUUCUUUUCUACCUUCUAAAUACCUUUAAACUCCCUCUUUUAGGUCUAGCCUGUACCUUACUCUGUUGUCAGAUUUCCUGAGCCUCUGUAAAAGCCCCUCGCUUGGUUCUCUAUAUUUACUCUCCUUCCCUUCUCUCAUCUCGCUGCAUUCAGAGGAAUCUUCUUUUUGAUCCUCUGCUUUAAGUCCUUGAUGUUUUAUUGCCUCAGGCCGCUAAGCAACAGCAGCAGUGUCCCCUAUCCCACGUUUCCCCCUUGUGUCUCUGACGGUUUCAAUGAGAAACGACCCUCAUUGAAACCGUUUAGGACGUGCAGUCCUGCUGGGGGAAGUUUGUCACUGGGGGAAGCAUUUGAGAGCUUAAGGCUCCGUCCUACUUCAAGUUUGCUCUCAGCUUGGACUAGUGGUUGAGAUGAGAGAUGCUAGCUUCUUUUUUCCUGCCUCUGCUGCCAUGCCCUUCCAUAAUGGACUCUUAGCCCUUUGGAAAUGUAAGCCCAAAUAAACUCUUUCUUUUUU
ensembl:lincRNA 1300002E11Rik RIKEN cDNA 1300002E11 gene